rnacentral:rRNA from 1 species
UACAGAGGGUGCGAGCGUUGAUCGGAAUUACUGGGCGUAAAGCGUGCGUAGACGGUUAUGUAAGUCGGGUGUGAAAGCCCCGGGCUCAACCUGGGAAUUGCAUUCGAGACUGCAUAGCUAGGGUGCGGAAGAGGGAAGCGGAAUUUCCGGUGUAGCGGUGAAAUGCGUAGAUAUCGGAAGGAACACCAGUGGCGAAAGCGGCUUCCUGGUCCAGCACCGACGUUCAGGCACGAAAGCGUGGGGAGCAAACAGG